rnacentral:rRNA from 1 species
GUGGGGAAUCUUGCGCAAUGGGCGAAAGCCUGACGCAGCCAUGCCGCGUGAAUGAUGAAGGUCUUAGGAUUGUAAAAUUCUUUCACCGGGGACGAUAAUGACGGUACCCGGAGAAGAAGCUCCGGCUAACUUCGUGCCAGCAGCCGCGGUAAUACGAAGGGGGCUAGCGUUGCUCGGAAUUACUGGGCGUAAAGGGCGCGUAGGCGGACAGCUUAGUCAGAGGUGAAAGCCCAGGGCUCAACCUUGGAAUUGCCUUUGAUACUGGCUGGCUUGAGUUUGGGAGAGGUGAGUGGAACUCCGAGUGUAGAGGUGAAAUUCGUAGAUAUUCGGAAGAACACCAGUGGCGAAGGCGACUCACUGGCCCGUUACUGACGCUGAGGCGCGAAAGCGUGGGGAGCAAACAGGAUUAGAAACCCUUGUAGUCC